UCUGUUUUUAAAUAUACUAAACUAAUAACUUUGUUACAAACUUGUAAUUGUAAUAGCAGGAGUGGAAGGUUGGGAUUUUUCAAAUAGAUGUGUUAGGGUUGUAAGCUAUACCGGUUGUACCGCAAACAAUUGUAAGGAUUUGUGUGGCAAGAGUAAACCGGGAUCUAGACCGGGUUGCAUCACUUCACCUGGUGGACCGUAUAAAGGACAUCAGCAAUGCGGCUGUACAUGGGAUUGCUAAGGCACAUCAUGAACUUUAUAUACUAAUAAUAACAAUAAAUCUCAAUCCUAUAUUAAUAUUGAGAACCUUAUAUUAUAAAGCAUAUAAUUUUUUUAUGCCUAGCUCAAUCAUAUGUAUACUAUUUUGUUGUUGUUGAGUUACAUACUCUAAUAAAGAUUUAAUUAUAGUAAUAUGAGUGUGAGAGUUGUAGAUAACCUUCAAAAGUAAGAUUUAACUAUAGUAAUAUGUUUUGGGUUCAUAAUUUAUAUAGUUGAUUUUUCUUUUCAUUUUAUUUGUUCUUUGUAUGCUAUAACAAAGUUCAGCUUAAAAGAUUAUUAGCUCUCGUGCAAGUUUUUAACUUAGGAAAAUAUAAUUUUAUAUAAUCAGUAAAUUAGUUAAGGUUUUUACAAUAACUUUAGGUUCUAGAAUAAUAAUUGAAUCGCUCCUAUGUGUACAUAAUCGAUCUCCUCAUAAACGAAGUGUAUCGCAUCAGAAAAGUGUGAUACUUAAAGCUUAAUAAAACAGCCUAAUAUCUCGGGGUGAUGAAUCUUAUAAGUCACUAAAAUUUUGACUAGCUAGUGCCUAGCACAGUAAGAUAAACUUCGUAGGGUUAAUAUAUAUGAUACAUUUCACUUAAAAUUGCAUAAUAUAAUUUGGUCAAUGUAAUAUUAGUAACGUCUUUGCUCGUGUUUUGGGUAGGUGUCGAUCGACACCGUGAAAAUGAAAAAGAUUUCGGUCGAUACCAUUAUUUUUAUGGCUACACCGGUUUAAUCAUGUAAUCAUUCGAUUUAGUGCAAUAAACAAAACCAAACCCCUCUUCAUUUCCAAUUGCCCAGCUCCUUCGACUUAUUGCUUUUACUUGCUGACUUCAUUGCUUUCAUCAUUAGAAAACCACAAACCAAACUCCUCUUCAUUUCCCUCUUAGUUAGAUUUAUAUUAUGAAUUCUUUUGUGUAGCUAUUUAUUCUCAGUGAAAUCGAUCCUUAACAUUAUAAAAUGUUAUUGUGCACUUGCAAGUAUUUGUGUGGAGUCUAAUGUAAAACCCUAAGAUGCAAAUACACACACAUCAGCCUUCAGCAUUGGAAAUGAAAGAGAUAAUCCUCAGUUGAUUUGUAUAUUCAAAUCGCAUGGAGGUAUUAAUGUAUUGUAUCUUGUGGUUGAUUUUAAACAUGAUCAAACCCAAAAAAAAACUGAUUAUCUUUUUAUAUUUUACUAAUUUUUGAUGAUUAGUUCCUAUUAAAUUUCUUGGUUCCUAUGACAAAAAAAAAAAUAAAGCUCCAAAAAAACCCACAAAUUUAAAAGAAAAUAAAUAAGUUUUGAAAAAACUUUUACCUAUCUUACAGUAAAAACCAUGAAUUUGGGUCAAAUUGGAUCCUAUAAUAUGGGAUAUAGGAUGAUACAUAUUAAUUUCUUAAAUUAGAUAUGUAUGAGAUACACCUAAUUAACUAUAUAUACUACACCUUCCUUCGUCGUUUUUAAUAUGAAAAUUUGAAACACUAUUGUACAAUAUUUAAAGUUUUCUAUAACCAAAAAAAAAGAAGAAAAAACACUAUCGAUCUAUAUAGAUCAAACAUGAUGAGAAAAUCCAAUCAAAUUUCCUUCUUUGUUCUUAUUAUCUUCACAAUUCUUCUACUAGGUAUAUAUGCUUACAUUUUUCUGAAACUGUAUUUACAUUUUACAUAUAAAUUUCUAAGAAUAAACGAGGGUUUGAUAUCAUAUUAAACAUUUUAAAAUAAUUUAAUUUCUCCUAAUUGAUUAAAUACUUUUUUCAUGCAAACUUUUAAAUUUCUUCACAUAUAUUGGUUAAUUUCCCUACUUUAUAAAUUUAUAUAGUCUCAACAUUUUUAAAAUAAUUGUGAUGUCAAGUGAUGAUGGAAACAUAUUUCAACUGUUUCCUUUUUUCAUCAAUUUUUUUCUUCCUUUCAAUAAGUAAGUGUUUCAAAUUAAAAAUAUUUUGUUUCAUAAAUAUUGGUGUUAGAACAGUUUCUAAGGAAAAUUAUAUGAUACAUUCAUAUAAUUUUCAGUUACUAGAUAUCAAUAAUUAUAAACAUAUGUUCCAUUACAGUAAAAAGUCAAAGUAAUUAUAUUUUCAUUUUUUAAAUAUAUGAACUAAUAAUUAAGAAUACUUUUUGUAAUUGUAACAGGAGUGAAAGGUUUUGAUUUUAGAAAUAAGUGUGGUGCUGUUUUAAGCUAUACUGGUUGUACUGCAAAAAAUUGUAAGGAGAUGUGUGCGAAGAGAAAUCUAAAAGGACAACCCCACUGCGUCACUUCACCUGGCGGACCGUAUAAAGGACAUCAACAAUGUGCAUGCACCUGGAAAUGCUAAUUAGUAUUAGGGCUAAUAACAACAAGUUAACAAGAAUAAUACUAGUAUUAAGAACUUUAUAAUGAAAUAAUGCAAUAUUUGAUGUGGAUUUUGUAGUCCUAACAUAUACAGUAUGUGUCAUUGUUGAUGUUUGGGGUUAGAAUGUGGUGUAAUAAUCGUUUAAUUAUGACAAUAUACUUUAAAUUAUCUUUAGUCUUCAAGAUGAACA
rnacentral:lncRNA from 1 species